UACGGGGGGAGCAAGCGUUGUUCGGAUUUACUGGGCGUAAAGGGCGCGUAGGCGGCCACCGCAAGUCGACUGUGAAAUCUCCGGGCUUAACCCGGAAAGGUCAGCCGAUACUGCGGGGCUAGAGUGCAGAAGGGGCAACUGGAAUUCUCGGUGUAGCGGUGAAAUGCGUAGAUAUCAGGAGGAACACCGGUGGCGAAGGCGGUGGUCUGGGCCGGCACUGACGCUGAGGAGCGAAAGCGUGGGGAGCAAACAGG
rnacentral:rRNA from 1 species